AAUUUUUGCAGUCGUCUAAAAUGUGUUCAAUGAGUUAUACAUAACAUAGUAGCCAGCUAUAUAAAAACAACGACACGUAUUUCACCAUUUAUUGGUUGGAACACAAAUCUAGGGUGCUUACAUAAUAAUGCAGCUUAAUAUUAACUGCAUAAAAAUCCAAACCAUGACCACAAGGACACCUUCAAUAUAUGUACAAACAUACAGUGAAAACUUCCUAGGAUUCAAACUGUAGGAGGAGUCAUGUGGAACAGCUAUAUACCCAUAAUGGGACAGAAGGACGGCUGGACAGGGGUACAAUAAUAUGUCCCAGACUUUUAGUCGCAGAGGGAUAAAAAUUGCAGGUCCCCAAGUGAAUUAAACACAAAGUGCUGUAGACAGCAAAUUCUCUGCAAGAAAGAUAGAAUAAAGAGUAAUACACACCAUUCAAUAUACAUACUUUUCCUUUUUACAAGUUUUUUUAUACAGAAAUACAAACAUAAUAAUUGUAAUUUUCAGUAUUAUAUACAUAAAUGGCAUACACACAUUAGAAUCAUUAAAAUAUGUUAUUUCCGUAGCCAGUAACUUAAGACCCCACCCAGCAUAACAUGGCAUGCAAUUCAUAUUUAAUAAACAGCUGUGUAAGGAGCACAUUCUGCCUUUAUCAUGUUUAUUAUGCAUAUUGAAAUUGUCAAAAGUAAAAUUAGAAUAUUUAGAAGGCAUUCAAAGGGUAAUCAGCAGCAAAUGAAAUGGCACUGAAGAAAAACAUGAAUGAGGAUACCCUAGCUAGUAUUGCGUCUAAUUGCUGUUCAUAGUCCUAUAAAUCUAUAAGGACAAACCAAAUAAAUUUCAAAACCAAAAGCCCGUCUUGAUUAACUUUUACAAGAGUAUUGAUUUUGUAAAAAAAUUGAUCAACAAUUCUAAAGCUAGUAAAUGACAUUGUUUAAAGUGGCAAAAGCUUAAUUACUGUGAACAACAUGGCAAAAAGUAUGAAAAUCUAGAGAGUUUUUAUCUAUCAAUCAUAUUGUUAUAUCAAAAAUACAUAGUAUUGGUUAAAGUAAAUUUGAAUAUCAUACAUUGGGCUGAAAUAUGGAUAUUGGUAUACCAUAAUAAUCUAGGUCUUUUAUAGUUGCACGAUCGUAUAAAAGCAAGUGGCAGAUUAAUACUAAAAACUGUUUACAUAGAGAUAUAUCUUAUCUCUAUUUUGCUAGAAAAAUGUAUAUUCAAAAUUAAAAUGGCAGUAACAUGAGUAAUUUAACAUGUAAAUUAUGCACAACAUUCAGUCAAUGAUUGAAAGUGCAGUGUCAAAUAACCUUCAUGGAAUUGAUCACUGACUUAUCAUCAUAGAUAUGAUAUGUGCCAAUGCUUAUACAACUACUGUAGGUGGGUCCAGGGGGGCCCUGCCCCCCCUUUUCAUGGGAAAAAUUUGGUUGAUUAUAUUGAGAAUCGUUGAAGCCUGACUGGAGCAGGCUCCCAAUCUUGGGAAAAGUUCUGGAUCAGCCACUGCUACAUGCCAAAUAUUGUUGAAUUACCAUUAGCUGUUCAUCUUUAAUGGACCUAAUCACAAUUUCUUAUAUAUACAAACUACGGAUUUUUUUUUAGUUUUUAGUAAAUAGACCAUAAAAAAAUAUCUAUAGGAAUAAGAGGUGAAAAUCUUACAACUCUAUACAAAACAUCAUUGACCUACCAAAUUAUAGACCAUUACUGAGGGGGCACGGCUUAUAAACUGAUCCAAACACAAACUAAAACAGAAACAACAUACAAAUGUUUCGCUUUUUGACUAAAAAGCAUGACAAAAAGGAAAUUGACAGUUUUGUCUGAGAUCUAUUUAUGUAAUUUGUAUUAGGUUUUUUUUCAGUAAUAAUUCAGUUGUGAGUAAAUGAAAACUAGUGUUGUACUGAACAAGUUAAACAUAAAAUAAGUUAAAUUCAUAAAAUUAAUAAUAAGGUGACAUUAUACAAUUCAAAUACAUUCCUAUUAGACAUUUGCGGAAACUCUAGGAUUACACUUUAGACUUACGAUUACAGGUAACAAAAACAAGGGGUCAUCUCAAAAUACAAAAACAAACCAACAAUACAUAUACAAAAUAGCAAAUUGAAUGCAUAUUUUGAUAUUUUAUCCCUAAAGAAGUGUUGUGUACGGUAUGAUUAUGAUUGGUACCCAUUACUUUUGCCCUGUACACUGUAUUAGGUUUCUUUCAGAUAAAACAUGUUAAUGUCUCAACAAAUGUGUUGAAAAUGAAAAUAAGUGUUGACAUUCACAACUAUUUGCACAUAAACAAGUUAAUUGUUUUUAUUGUAAAUUAAGCAUACACUUAUCUAAAAUGUUUCAAUAAGUAGAAUGAUU
rnacentral:lncRNA from 1 species